GUUCCUAUUUGAAAGAUAAUAUUUUAAUGGUUCAUUGAGCUUAAGAAUUUUUUGACAUUGAAGGAAAUAUAUUGAUUUUUCACUCAACUUUAAGAUUUCAGAGAUGGUAGGAGAGCUAUUUGAGGCAUAAAAAUGUAUGACUAUGUACAGAUGGAAUGGCCUUGAGGUUCUUGUAUGUACGACUUCAGACUCUAUGUAUGAUCUUGGAGGAACCUUUCUUGUUACUGGUCUAUUUUUCCAUAUAAGAUAGAGGCAAGGACAUAUGUAAAGAGAACAUGGCCCGGAGACAUGGAGUACAUGUGUGCAGUACAACAGUACUCUGACAUUAUCAGAAGACCGAGAAGCUACCAGGCCAUGUGACAUCAGAACACCAUGAAUUUGGCCAGUGAAAAUGGAAGCUAUGUAAUUGGUGAAUUCCAAAUUCCAGGCAAGCAAGCUGAUUGGCCAAGCUACAGUGGAAUGUGAUCAGUACUGUAAAAGCAGAGUUCUGGGGAAAAGCCCAGGUGUGCCUAGGAGUCACUGCGCCUCUUCUCUUGGCAUCUACCCUUUCUGUUCCUGGUGAUGAACUGGCAAGAGGAGCAAGACAUCCCAGCACUCUGUCACACAUAAAGGAUAACAUUGGGAUUUCUGGAUUCAAGAGUGAAGAAAUUUAUAUCAGAGGAUCACACAGGUUCCAGUUUAAGAGCCAACUGGACGGAAGACUUUGCUGCCUAGAGAGGUGUCAUGUUUCAUGCAGCCCUAGGGACCAGGUGUGUCAGGUGUGGGCUAGUGAUGUGAGAUGUCCGCCCGACUCCUUACUGCUGGGCUCAGCUGCACACUACGUAAAGCUAGUCUAUGUCAAGUCCAUUCAACUUCAGACUUUCUCGCAACCGCAAGACAAUUGGCAUGGUGGCUCUGCUCAGCACAAGGUUAGUGUUCUGGACUGAAUGUUUAUGUCUCCUCCAAAUUCAUAUGCUGAAGCCCUAACUCCACUGUGACUGUAUUUAGGGGUAAGGCCUGUAAGGGGAUGGUGAAAGUAAGAUGAGUUUCAUGAGGGUGGGACCCUAAUCCAAUAGGAUGGGCUCCCUUACAGGAAGAGGAAGAAUGGGGGCACCUGGCUGGCUCAGUCGGUUAAGCAUCUGCCUUUGGCUCGGGUCACGAUCCCGGGGUCCUGGGAUCAAGCUCCGUGUUGGCUUCCUGCUCAGCUGGAAGUCCGCCUCUCUCUCUCCCUCUGUCCCUUCCCCUGGCUUGUGUUCUCUCCCUCUCUGUGUCUCAAAUAAAUAAAUAAAGUCUUAAAAAAGAGAGAGAGAG
rnacentral:lncRNA from 1 species